AGCAGCCGCGGUAAUUCCAGCUCCAAUAGCGUAUAUUAAAGUUGUUGCAGUUAAAAAGCUCGUAGUUGAAUUUCGGGAUCAAUAUGUUUGGUCGUGCCUCGGUACGUACUAGCUUAUUGGUUUCUCCUUUCUGAAGAACCAUGAUGUCAUUCAUUUGGUGUCGUGGGGAAUCAGGACUGUUACUUUGAAAAAUUAGAGUGUUUAAAGCAGGCUCGCGCUUGAAUACAUUAGCAUGGAAUAAUGAAAUAGGACGUUUGAUUCUAUUUUGUUGGUUUCUAGGAUCGACGUAAUGAUUAACAGGGAUAGUUGGGGGCAUUAGUAUUCAAUUGUCAGAGGUGAAAUUCUUGGAUUUAUUGAAAACUAACUACUGCGAAAGCAUUUGCCAAGGAUGUUUUCAUUAAUCAAGAACGAAAGUUAGGGGAUCGAAGACGAUCAGAUACCGUCGUAGUC
rnacentral:rRNA from 1 species